GCGGGUAUAGCUCAGUGGUAGAGCCGCAGCCUUCCAAGCUGAAGAUGCGGGUUCGAUUCCCGCUACCCGCUCCA
rnacentral:tRNA from 3 species